CUAACGUCCGUCGUGAAGAGGGAAACAACCCAGACCGCCAGCUAAGGUCCCAAAGUCAUGGUUAAGUGGGAAACGAUGUGGGAAGGCCCAGACAGCCAGGAUGUUGGCUUAGAAGCAGCCAUCAUUUAAAGAAAGCGUAAUAGCUCACUGGUCGAGUCGGCCUGCGCGGAAGAUGUAACGGGGCUAAACCAUGCACCGAAGCUGCGGCAGCGACGCUUAUGCGUUGUUGGGUAGGGGAGCGUUCUGUAAGCCUGUGAAGGUGUGCUGUGAGGUAUGCUGGAGGUAUCAGAAGUGCGAAUGCUGACAUAAGUAACGAUAAAGCGGGUGAAAAGCCCGCUCGCCGGAAGACCAAGGGUUCCUGUCCAACGUUAAUCGGGGCAGGGUGAGUCGACCCCUAAGGCGAGGCCGAAAGGCGUAGUCGAUGGGAAACAGGUUAAUAUUCCUGUACUUGGUGUUACUGCGAAGGGGGGACGGAGAAGGCUAUGUUGGCCGGGCGACGGUUGUCCCGGUUUAAGCGUGUAGGCUGGUUUUCCAGGCAAAUCCGGAAAAUCAAGG
rnacentral:rRNA from 1 species